rnacentral:misc_RNA from 1 species
GGAAGUAAAAGUCGUAACAGGGGCUCCGUUGGUGAACCAGCGGAGGGAUCAUUACAGAGUUGCAAAACUCCCAAACCAUUGUGAACGUUACCUAUCCCGUUGCUUCGGCGGGCGGCCCGGGCCCCGCGCCCGGCGCCCCCCGGCCCCCCGUGGGCGCCCGCCGGAGGUAAACCAAACCCUUGAAUUGCAUGGCCUCUCUGAGUCUUCUGUACUGAAUAAGUCAAAACUUUCAACAACGGAUCUCUUGGUUCUG